GCCGCCGUAGCUCAGUGGUAGAGCGCCCGCCUUGUAAGCGGAUGGUCGUCAGUUCAAUCCUGACCGGCGGCUCCA
rnacentral:tRNA from 1 species